rnacentral:rRNA from 1 species
AUUGAACGCUGGCGGCAGGCCUAACACACGCAAGUCGAACGAGUGGCGGACGGGUGAGUAAUGUCUGGGAAACUGCCUGAUGGAGGGGGAUAACUACUGGAAACGGUAGCUAAUACCGCAUACCAUCAGAUGUGCCCAGAUGGGCUUGGCUAGUUGGUGGGGUAACGGCUCACCAAGGCGACGAUCCCUAGCUGGUCUGAGAGGAUGCCCAGCCACACUGGAACUGAGAAACGGUCCAGACUCCUACGGGAGGCAGCAGUGGGGAAUAUUGAACAAUGGGCGCAAGCCUGAUGCAUCCAUGCCGGGUGUAUGAAGAAGGCCUUCGGGUUGUAAAGUACUUUCAGCGAGGAGGCGUUACCCGCAGAAGAAGCACCGGCUAACUCCGUGCCAGCCGCCGCGGUAAUUC